UAGGGAAACCCCAGUAUCGAUAAUACGGAACAUUUUCUAUCCAUAUUGGCCCGCAGCAAUCAACUUGAACAUGAUUUUAUUGCUGCCAUAUUCUAAUUAGCCCGUCGGGAAGUUAGAAGCUUGCUAUGACGAACAAUUUCGUAGUUCUCGAUUACUUCAAAACAUGUUCUUAAAAUUUCACAACAAUAUUUUGCUUGGGAUAACUGAUUCGUAACUGACAUGUAUCAUCUCUUAAUUUCUCUUAUUGUAAAUUUGCACAAUCAUGUUAAGCGACUUUUGUUCAUGCUUAGUCAAUCGCCACCGCAAUUUGCCGGUACGUCACUUUGGUUGAAAUGAAAUUAAUCUUCCUUUACCACGGCUCAGUAAAAUCCCUGUAAUUAGGAGCUAUUUUAAGUAAAUGACUGCCUCGUCCGCAGUUAAAUUUGCUUUGUUUCUCCGAAGCCAUCAGUUUUGAUCACAUCUUCGGUGUCGUCAGGAGAAAAACUAGAUCAUAACUUCGCCUUGAAGACUCAGUGUCCCUCAGUGAUCUGAUUUACGAUGGGGAAUUGCUUUUCCUGCUGCAAAGAUUGCGAGGGUGGCGGAGGCGGUGGAGGCGGAAGUUGGGGAGGAGGUGUCAGUUUUCGCGGGGGAGGGGGUGGAGGAGGCGAUGGAGGCGGCGGAGGGGGCGGUGGAGGGGACGGUGGAGGCUGUUGAGGAGGCUGUGCCGGAGACUGAAGACCUUUAUGAACAUCCUAUUGGAUCUGAAGCGAUUUAAACUAACUAUGAGCAGUACUAGUUAAAAGAGAAAGGCAUAAAUAGUAACUGUCUUAGUAUUGCAGUGAUAAAAGUAGAAGUACAGUGUGACGAUGUAGAAGGUUAUCUCAGUGGUCCUUUCUUGUAUGCAGAAUUAUUUGACUCGAUGUUCAAGGAAACUUGCAAACUCCAGUGAGACAUGAUCUGUCAUUUUUUUUUUCUUCAAUCAAUAAAAGCACUUAUUUUAGCAUU